AUACUAUUGUAAAUGAAUAUAUUACACCGCGAGACUGCAAACACCCACUUAGAUUCUCGGUCGAUACGGAUCUCGCGUGUCCCGUAGUCGACUGUGUACACUGUACACCAUAUUAUUGUAUCCGCCCCCGUUGUUAUCACCGUCGACAAUAUUAUCGUAAUCGUUUAUUAUGCUUUCCCGAGGAAACAGAAGGGCUCGAGUGAUUUCCGCAUACAGUUUCCCGGGUUGUACGACCGAAUUCGACUUUGAAUUAAAUGCAACUUAAAUGCAGACGUACUGAAUGGCCUAUAGACAGU